AUACAGAGCUGGGGAGACAAAGAGCAUGCUCAGUGAGGACUGGCAUGGAGGUCAACAGAGCAUGCUCAGUGAGGACUGGCAUGGAGGUCAUCAGAGCAUGCUCAGUGAGGACUGGCAUGGAGGUCAUCAGAGCAUGCUUCGUGAGGACUGGCAUGGAGGUCAACAGAGCAUGCUCAGUGAGGACUGGCAUGGAGGUCAUCAGAGCAUGCUCAGUGAGGACUGGCAUGGAGGUCAUCAGAGCAUGCUUCGUGAGGACUGGCAUGGAGGUCAACAGAGCAUGCUCAGUGAGGACUGGCAUGGAGGUCAUCAGAGCAUGCUUCGUGAGGACUGGCAUGGAGGUCAACAGAGCAUGCUCAGUGAGGACUGGCAUGGAGGUCAUCAGAG